CAUAUAUUGUCUAUCGUAGUCUAGAUGUGUCUUGUAUUCCUAUUUUCUCUUGGUUAAUCUAAAGGAGAAUGAGUUGACAAUUUCUUCCAUCAUAAGGUUCUGUUGACUGGUAACUAUACAAUAUUCCACAUGGUACAAAUUGCGUCUCAAUUGCAAAAGGUAUUCUAAUGUGACUGUUUCUUAUGAAAGGUUGCGCGUGUAUUUGCUAGUGUAAAUUGAUGAACGGGGAUAAAGUCUGAAUGGUUAAAUGUCCUGUAGAUUAAUCCAGUAGGUACUAAUUCACUGCUUGAUGAAAAGUUACUCUCUUGUGUGCAAAGCCGACGGUUUUCU
rnacentral:lncRNA from 1 species